rnacentral:rRNA from 1 species
AACGAACGCUGGCGGCAGGCCUAAAACAUGCAAGUCGAACGGGUGUAGUAAUACAUCAGUGGCGCACGGGUGAGUAACGCGUGGGAACAUGCCCCUUAGUACGGGACAACGUCGGGAAACUGACGCUAAUACCGUAUAAUAUCUCCGGAUCAAAGAUUUAUCGCUGAGGGAGUGGCCCGCGUCUGAUUAGCUAGUUGGUGAGGUAAUGGCUCACCAAGGCUACGAUCAGUAGCAGGUCUGAGAGGAUGAUCUGCCACACUGGGACUGAGACACGGCCCAGACUCCUACGGGAGGCAGCAGUUAGGAAUAUUGGACAAUGGGCGAAAGCCUGAUCCAGCCAUGCCGCGUGUGUGAUGAAGGCCCUAGGGUUGUAAAGCACUUUCGU